UCCUCCUCUGUGACGUCGGCGCCUUCGCUGUAGCAAAGCUCGGCCUCUGGAAUUCUGAGAACUAAUUUGCUAUUCGGUGACAUAAGAGGGGGAGUGCGCUUUGCUUUCCCGGGGUCUGGGGCUAAUUCCUCCUCUCUUACCCAUAAACUCAGCUCCUUGAGCUAAAUGCACAACAGGGAGCGAGAGAUUUGAACCACUGGAAAAAGUAUCUUAUAUAUAGUAGGGUUGGAGAGGCGAGUAAGAGGGAAAAAAAAAAAACAAAACAAUAAACACCACAGCUCUUUCCAGCUAGAAUAUUAAGCACCACGAGAAAAAUAUUUGCCAAGCAGUUUUCGAGUCUGUCACGCAGGCUGCUGGAGUGCAAUGGUGUGAUCUCAGCUCACUACAAGCUCUGCUUCCUGAGUUCAAGUGAUUCUCCUACCUCAGCCUCCCAAGUAGCUGAGAUUACAGGGUGAAAGGAGAAGAAUUAAUCACCAGAACCUGAUGCAAAGGAAUUAAUAGCUCCUCAUUUGCACACUGGCACGUCCUCAGAUGAAAGCAUUGAUGCUGAGACAAGAAAGUGAUGGGAAAGCCCCAUGUCUGUUUGACUCCACGUCUAGUGCUUAUUCCAGCACACCUGCUACCUUCCUCACCAGGACUCAUUUCACAAGCUCAUGCACUCCCACAGUGCGCGCAACUAACCAAUACCCUGCCAUCCCCUCAUAGAUUGGGCCUCUCCAGCCUGGUACGUUAGUCAAUGACUUAAUUUUGAAUCCAGAGUGUGGACUUCACAAGCAAAAUGUCCAGGUUUGAAUCAUGACUUUGCCACUAAUAUUAGCUGUGCAACUUUGGCCCAUCCAUGAAUCCCAGUUUCUUUAUCGGUAACUGGGAAUGAUAUACUUGCCCCCAGGGAGUUAGGAUUAAGUAAUAUAAUACAUGUACUAAUAAAUCACUUAGCACAGGUCUGACGUGUAUAGUAUAUGUUCAAUAAUGUUAAAUGUAAUCGGAAAUGGCUGAUUCUUUUAAACCCUGCAGCUGUUUUGGAACACACCAUUCAGUGCUUCAAAAUCCUUUCUUGAAAACUGCCAAGUGGAGAAGUCAAUACCAAAAUCCACAUGUGACAAGUCUUAGCAGUUUCAACAACUCUUCGUACCAAUCAGUGUUGAAUCAGGAAGGCAGAACCACCACAAGUAACAUGGAAUAAUGGAUUUAUUAUAGGAAUUAGAUCUUCUGCAAUUGACAUAAAGCCAAAGGUAUAUAGUGACAGUAAGUCCUAAAAAAUCUUUUGAAACCUCAAUGAAAAAUAUUUUUAUAAAUAAAAUACACACACACACACACACACGUCACUGGAAGAAAACUUAAUCAAAAUCUUUAUAGUGGACAUCUCUGAUUGAUGGGAUAAUGAGAGGUUUUAUUUUCACAUUCAUUUACUUGCUUUCUAAUUUUGUACACUAAACAAGUAUUCAGGCUGGGUGCAGUGGCUCAUGCCUGUAACCCCAGCACUUUGGGAGGCCAUGGUGGGUGAAUCAGCUGAUUUCAGGAGUUCGAGACCAGCCUGGCCAACAUGGUGAAACCCUGUCUUUACUAAAAUUACAAA